GCUCUGUGGGAUCAGUGGCGAACGGGUGAGUAACACGUGAGCAACCUGCCCCUGACUCUGGGAUAAGCGCUGGAAACGGCGUCUAAUACUGGAUAUGUGACGUGACCGCAUGGUCUGCGUUUGGAAAGAUUUUUCGGUUGGGGAUGGGCUCGCGGCCUAUCAGCUUGUUGGUGAGGUAAUGGCUCACCAAGGCGUCGACGGGUAGCCGGCCUGAGAGGGUGACCGGCCACACUGGGACUGAGACACGGCCCAGACUCCUACGGGAGGCAGCAGUGGGGAAUAUUGCACAAUGGGCGAAAGCCUGAUGCAGCAACGCCGCGUGAGGGAUGACGGCCUUCGGGUUGUAAACCUCUUUUAGCAGGGAAGAAGCGAAAGUGACGGUACCUGCAGAAAAAGCGCCGGCUAACUACGUGCCAGCAGCCGCGGUAAUACGUAGGGCGCAAGCGUUAUCCGGAAUUAUUGGGCGUAAAGAGCUCGUAGGCGGUUUGUCGCGUCUGCUGUGAAAUCCCGAGGCUCAACCUCGGGCCUGCAGUGGGUACGGGCAGACUAGAGUGCGGUAGGGGAGAUUGGAAUUCCUGGUGUAGCGGUGGAAUGCGCAGAUAUCAGGAGGAACACCGAUGGCGAAGGCAGAUCUCUGGGCCGUAACUGACGCUGAGGAGCGAAAGGGUGGGGAGCAAACAGGCUUAGAUACCCUGGUAGUCCACCCCGUAAACGUUGGGAACUAGUUGUGGGGUCCAUUCCACGGAUUCCGUGACGCAGCUAACGCAUUAAGUUCCCCGCCUGGGGAGUACGGCCGCAAGGCUAAAACUCAAAGGAAUUGACGGGGACCCGCACAAGCGGCGGAGCAUGCGGAUUAAUUCGAUGCAACGCGAAGAACCUUACCAAGGCUUGACAUAUACGAGAACGGGCCAGAAAUGGUCAACUCUUU
rnacentral:rRNA from 1 species